rnacentral:rRNA from 1 species
UACGUAGGGUGCGAGCGUUAAUCGGAAUUACUGGGGCGUAAAGCGUGCGUAGACGGUUAUUUAAGUCGGGUGUGAAAGCCCCGGGCUCAACCUGGGAAUUGCAUUCGAGACUGAAUAGCUAGGGUACGGUAGAGGGAAGUGGAAUUUCCGGUGUAGCGGUGAAAUGCGUAGAUAUCGGAAGGAACAUCAGUGGCGAAAGCGACUUCCUGGACCAGUACCGACGUUCAGGCACGAAAGCGUGGGGAGCAAACAGG